UACGUAGGGUGCAAGCGUUGUCCGGAAUUAUUGGGCGUAAAGAGCUCGUAGGCGGUCUGUUGCGUCGACGGUGAAAACCCAUGGCUUAACUGUGGGCUUGCCGUCGAUACGGGCAGACUAGAGUGCGGUAGGGGAGACUGGAAUUCCUGGUGUAGCGGUGAAAUGCGCAGAUAUCAGGAGGAACACCGGUGGCGAAGGCGGGUCUCUGGGCCGUUACUGACGCUGAGGAGCGAAAGCGUGGGGAGCAAACAGG
rnacentral:misc_RNA from 1 species